GCUCCGUUGGUGAACCAGCGGAGGGAUCAUUACCUAGUUAUCAACUCCCAAACCCCUGUGAACAUACCUAACGUUGCUUCGGCGGCACCGCCACGGCGCCCUCGGGGUCCCGGAACCAGGCGCCCGCCGGAGCACCCAAACCCUUGUUUAAAGCAUAGAGGCAUAUUUUGAGUCUCACAAGAAAAAUGAAUCAAAACUUUCAACAACGGAUCUCUUGGCUCUG
rnacentral:misc_RNA from 1 species